AAAUAAAGCAAGAACAUCCUAACUGGUAUUCAACUCAAUCUGCAACAAAGAUGGAUGAUCAACAGUAAUCCUUUUACCAAACAAUAACACGUCUAGCACACAUCUCGUUUGAGAACCAAGAAAAAUCAGAGAUAACAGCUCCAAAUAGAUUCAGCUAUUUAAAUGAAAACCAACAGUUUCAGUCGUUUAAGUGAUAUCGUGUCACAAAGGUUUACAACUUACUUCAUUAAACAAUGGAUCAAUUAAGAUGAACCAAAAUGAGGCUAAGACAGGAUGGAACUCAAAUAGUUCAAGCAGCGGAUUAAUUAGUUUCAGAUUCGAAUCAUCAAGAAACAAAUAAAUCUAGCGUGAAGCCAACACGAAUCAGAAUUAAUUCUUAGAUAAAUUGCUAGCAAAUAUAAACAGAACCCACACUAAAAGGAAGACGCCAGAACAAGGUUUCCAAUAUUUCAGAUUCAAGCCACAAGAGGCUUUAAAAUUCUCAGCAUUUCAAAGAUAGUUUCAUCCCUCACUCAAAAUUCAAACUACAACAGCAAACAGUUACUCAUGUUUAUUUUUAUAAUUCUAACUUAACCAAAAGGAAACUGAACUAUUCAUGAAGACGGUUCGACCGGAAUGUAACAGAAUUUAACAGACGAUCGCAACAAUUCUAAAGACACAGCAAAAUCAGAAAUUAGUGACAUAUACACAACCGAGUCAAACCAGACAUACUCGUGCAAAUGAAAAACCAACACCUUACGACCAAACAGUCACAUUUCAUAAUCAAACGCCAAAGAUAGGCUACAUGGGAUUAAAAGCGAACCUGAAUCAAUAAACAACCCGUUUAACUUCGUACGAGCUUGGAAUACAAACAAGACCUAGAAGCUAAUGAGUUGAAAUCAGAAGCUCGGACAGCAGCAGACUCACACUUCUCGACGCCAUUGUUCGUCCGAAAACCAGAAUUGAAAUCAAAGAAAACUCUAGUGCAUCGAAAUGCUAAUCAAAACUGAUCUCCGUGAAAUUAUGAAACAAACAGGACAGAAAAGAAAACUUGAACAAACUCAAUGCAUCUCUAUUUCUGAAAGGAAUCAAAGAAAGAUAGUGAAAACUUCUUUGUUUUUAGAUUUUCUGAAACAGGACAAGGAACUAAAACCAAAAGAAACUGGAAUAUCUCAGCCUUUUCUUCCAGAAUCAAAAUUAAAAUCCAAAAGAACUCCAUGAAAACUGAAUGAACUCUCAAACUUUUUUUCCAAUCUUUUCGACUCCAAAAAAAAAAUCCCCCCUACUUACUCGAAAUGGUCCCUUAUAUCAAAACUCUCGAUCCUUUCCCCCUCCUCACGAAAAACGACUGAGGCUCUCAUAAAAACGAGCAUGUGAUGAACGUGAGGCUCGGAUUGAAUCAAAUCGAUCCGACGCCUCUCACUCAUCCAACACCCUUCUUCUAGAGCCUUCUAAUCCGCGUGAGAUAGCUUGAAAACGGGCGAGUGAGGAGGCAAUAUUGUUGUUGUCAGAGGUCUUUACACCCAUGUGGCAAUAAGAGAGAAGAAAAGAGCGCGUGAGGUGAAUUUUUGGGCGAAAUCGGGUGAGGCAGAACGGCGUGAGAUAGCUUGAAAACAGGCGAGUGAGGAGGCAAUAUUGUUGUUGUCAGAGGUCUUUACACCCAUGUGGCAAUAAGAGAGAAGAAAAGAGCGCGUGAGGUGAAUUUUUGGGCGAAAUCGGGUGAGGCAGAACGUUGUGGACUGCUUGGAGAAGAGGAACAGGGAAUUAGAGUUCUGCCCCGUUCAAUUUCGCGUUUGUUAAUUAAUUGGGAACGGGUUGGGUUGUGU
rnacentral:lncRNA from 1 species